UCAAUUUCCCUGAGUUGCGGUGAUUUAUUGAAUAAUAAUUCUGUGCUGUGAACAUAUUUUUAUUUAUUUUAUUUAAAAUAUUUUUACCCCACCUUUCUCCUUGAAAUGAAUGCAAGGUGGUGUACGUCAUUAAAAGGACAAUAUUUAAAAGCUAAAAAAAAAAAAAAAAAUCAAUAGAUAUACAAUAUUAAAAUGAACUGAACAAGUAGUACAUUAAAAGCAGUCAUAAAAUCAAUUCAAUUCAGAGUUUUUCAGAUAAUGAAUACUCCCCAAUAGAUAUACAAUAUUAAAAUGAAUUGAACAAAUAUUACAUUAAAAGCAGUCAUAAAAUCAAUGCAAUUCAGAGUUUUUCAGAUAAUGAAUACUGAGAAGUGCUUCACCGUUCACUUCUUCUGGAGGAGCCAUGAGGCUGUGCAGCUGGCCCAAGGCCACCCAGGCUGGCUUUGUAUGCGUAGGAGGCACAAGGAGGGAAUCGAACUCUGAGCCUCUGGCUGCAUAAACGACUGAACUAUCCGUCCAGCUACGAUGUCUCCAAAUAUCUGUUUCUGGGGACGUGAGACGGAGGGUUUUGCUGGGCCCACCUCCAGGGCUUCCCUUUGGAGGGCCCUCUGAUUGGAGACUAUGUGAAUAGGAUGCUGGCCUCCGCUGGGCUGUAGCUUCAUCUUUCCCCCUGCUUUGGACGAGAGAAGCAAGACUUUUCACGCUGUCUCCCUGCCAAAGCCAAGGACCCUUCUGUUUGGAUUCGCUACAAUGGGCCCUUGUAUUCUUUGGCACCGGCUGUCUCUCGGCUGCCCAUCGACGCUGCCUCCGCCAACAAUAACUGCUUUAUCUUUGCCGGUGCCCUGGGUUCAAAGUGGGUUGGAAAGGCCGGGAAUGGACGCGACGGGAACAGGGAUGAGAACGGGACCCGCAUGUCGCCUGGGUGGGGAGAGAGAACUCUAUAAAGGCCAGCAGUCCCAUGGAGGCGAAAAGUCUACUAGCAUCUCAGCAUGUCCUAUGGUAGAGAAAGGAAAAAGUGGAAGAUGGAGCUCUAUGUGCUUUGGCUGAGUUUUGCCUUCCUUCGCGCCGCCCAGGCGGUGAGCUACGACUCGGAUCGUUGCAGCCCAAAACAGGCCUUUGGAGACUGGCUUAUGCACGCCUUUGCCACGGACUGCAAGUGGUUCAUGAAAUACCUGGACGACAUGACGAUGGUCGUCGUCAAUUUACGUGAGACGGAAAGCGGAGGGAUCUACAUCGCUUCCAAGUUCCCAACCCCCUUCGGGUGCCAGAGCCUUGAGCUGGAAUUCAAGAGACAGGAAGAUGGGUCGUACGUCCACACAUCAGGAUGGGGUGAGGAAAAGAUAGAAAAGAUCAUGACAGAUUGCGAUACCUACACCAUUGUCACCAUCGCGAAGGUCAGGGGUGGGGUGACCUCCAGAUAUGCGGUACUUUAUGCCAGGGAGACCCAGGUGCGAAAGGAAGCUGAACAGAAAUUCCUGGACUAUGUGCAUCAUGAGCUGGGCUUUAAGGAGGAAAACAUUCAGAUGUUUGGUGACGAAGGUAAGGUGUGAGAAGAGCUGGUUUUCUUGACCCAGGUUGAUUCAAACCGUACUGAGUGGGGGGGGGGGGGAGAGAGCAGGAGAUGUCCAGGCAAUGGAGGGGACGAAGUAAUGGGCAGGAAAGCAGGAAUUGAAAGCAGGGAGAAAUCCGGGUCCGAUGAGGAUAUGGCGAGAGCUUUGAAGAUAAUGUCUAGACAAUGGAGGGGACGAAGUCAUGGGCAGGAAAGCAUGGAUUGAAAGCAGGGAGAAAUGCGGGUCUGAUGAGGAUAUGGCGAGAGCUUUGAAGAUAAAAACAAGGAGAUGGGUCAAAAGGAUGGUGUGUCCCUAUGGCAAAAGGAUGCACAGGCACCCCCCCUCAUCAACCACAGAGGUGAGGUAUGUGGCAACUCUCCCUCUAGCUGCUCCCCCCAAAACAGGCCAUAUCUGAACGAGUAUACAAACCCACACAAUUCCCUCCUUUGUGUUUCAUGUCCUAACGGCAAUUAAUGUGACCUAAGCCGCUGUCCCUCCUCUUCAAUUAUGUUUUCACAGUGGCCUGCGCGGAAGGUCGUUAGGUGAGUUUUUGAAGGCACCGACACUCAAUUUUGGGCAAAAGCGUUCGCUGGCCUGAACCUUCGGGUCUUCUCGGUCAAGCGUGACAAAAACACACACACACACACCGGUGCUUUUCCAAGGCCAUCGGUCUGAAUAGAGAAAAGGCUGGGUGGUAUUGGCUUGUUCCUGUGACGUCACCACCAGAGGUUACGAUCUGAAGCACUUUUGCCUGUUCAUUGUGAUUCGAGGGAAGAGGGUGGUGGAGGGGAUGUAAGGUGAACAAGACAAGGAAAGAGCAUUGGCCCUUUUUUGAGUGAAAGACAGUGAAAGAAUCUAAGUUUGAUCUAAGAAAACCAGAGACACUGGCUCAUCCCUCAAGUUCCCUGUCUCACAGGUUCCUCAGAAGACUCAGCGCUGCUGGCUGUGGGUUUGGAAGUGUCCAUGGUGUCCAGUUCGGGCCUCCGUGCGAGAUUCUGAGCAUCGAACGCUGUCGUCCUGCUUAAUAAAUAGAUUCGGAAAAUGCA
rnacentral:lncRNA from 1 species